GUGACAGUGACGCUUUCAAAUUUUGCUUUUUAUAACGCUUCUGUUCAACUUUUUCUAAAGGUUUGAGGAUAAGUGAUGAUGACAGAUUUACAGGCACCGAAGGGAAUCUGUGUGACUAUGCAGCAGAGAGAAGCCUCGCUUCGCUUUGUAUAAGUACAUGAAAAUUUUGCAGAAAAAAAGGAGAAUACUCGCUGUUGAAUCUUCUUUGGCAAUAUAGAAAUAGAAAAGGGAAUCAGUUGCUGUUCAGAAUACAGCAACUGCCAUUGCGAAUAUAAUGAAGAUGUGAAUCUGAUAAACAAAUAUACUUUUAAAAUAUACAUAGUGUACAGAAACGCUACAAGACGUCGUCGUGAGGAUGUGGGUUGGAGAAAU